rnacentral:rRNA from 1 species
ACAUGCAAGUCGAGCGGUAACAGGGGAAGCUUGCUUCCCGCUGACGAGCGGCGGACGGGUGAGUAAUGCUUAGGAAUCUGCCCAGUAGUGGGGGAUAGCCCGGGGAAACCCGGAUUAAUACCGCAUACGUCCUACGGGAGAAAGCAGGGGAUCUUCGGACCUUGCGCUAUUGGAUGAGCCUAAGUCGGAUUAGCUAGUUGGUGGGGUAAAGGCCUACCAAGGCGACGAUCCGUAGCUGGUCUGAGAGGAUGAUCAGCCACAUCGGGACUGAGACACGGCCCGAACUCCUACGGGAGGCAGCAGUGGGGAAUAUUGGACAAUGGGGGCAACCCUGAUCCA